rnacentral:rRNA from 1 species
UACGUAGGGCGCGAGCGUUGUCCGGAAUUAUUGGGCGUAAAGAGCUCGUAGGCGGCCUGUUGCGUCUGCUGUGAAAUCCCGGGGCUUAACCCCGGGCGUGCAGUGGAUACGGGCAGGCUGGAGGCAGGCAGGGGAGAACGGAAUUCCCGGUGUAGCGGUGAAAUGCGCAGAUAUCGGGAGGAACACCGGUGGCGUAAACGGCUUUCUGGACCAUAACUGACACUGAGGCACGAAAGCGUGGGUAGCAAACAGG